CAGCCGCCGCGGUAAUACGGAGGAUCCAAGCGUUAAUCAGAAUUACUGGGCGUAAAGCGUGCGCAGGCGGUUUUGUAAGACAGAGGUGAAAUCCCCGGGCUCAACCUGGGAACUGCCUUUGUGACUGCAAGGCUAGAGUACGGCAGAGGGGGAUGGAAUUCCGCGUGUAGCAGUGAAAUGCGUAGAUAUGCGGAGGAACACCGAUGGCGAAGGCAAUCCCCUGGGCCUGUACUGACGCUCAUGCACGAAAGCGUGGGGAGCAAACAGGAUUAGAUACCCCAGUAGUCCCUGUCUCUUAUAC
rnacentral:rRNA from 1 species